rnacentral:rRNA from 1 species
CCUACGGGAGGCAGCAGUGGGGAAUUUUGGACAAUGGGCGCAAGCCUGAUCCAGCAAUGCCGCGUGCAGGAUGAAGGCCUUCGGGUUGUAAACUGCUUUUGUACGGAACGAAACGGCCCUUUCUAAUACAAGGGGCUAAUGACGGUACCGUAAGAAUAAGCACCGGCUAACUACGUGCCAGCAGCCGCGGUAAUACGUAGGGUGCGAGCGUUAAUCGGAAUUACUGGGCGUAAAGCGUGCGCAGGCGGUUUAUAUAAGACAGAUGUGAAAUCCCCGGGCUCAACCUGGGACCUGCAUUUGUGACUGUAUAGCUAGAGUACGGUAGAGGGGGUAUGGAAUUCCGCGUGUAGCAGUGAAAUGCGUAGAUAUGCGGAGGAACACCGAUGGCGAAGGCAAUCCCCUGGACCUGUACUGACGCUCAUGCACGAAAGCGUGGGGAGCAAACAGGAUUAGAUACCCUGGUAGUCCACGCCCUAAACGAUGUCAACUGGUUAGUUGGGUCUUACACUGACUCAGUAACGAAGCUAACGCGUAGAGUUCGACCGUCGUGGGGUACGUACGGCCGCGAAGGUUGAAACGUCGAAAGUAGUAGUUAGUACGGCGUGAGAGUAGACCGACGGACGACGACGAGGGAGGUUAGG